rnacentral:lncRNA from 1 species
AGGUAUGGAAAAAGUAGUAUAUACAAAAUGUUAAGACCAACUUGCUAAUUAUAAUAAAAAUUAUGAAUGUUCAACCAUCUAGUUUUAAUUCGGCAUUUGGAUAUAAUUUUAUUUUGUCAAUGGGAGAGGGGAUUCAAACUAGGGCCUCUUUAAAGAGAUAUACCAGUAAACUAAGAGUUACUUAUUUUGAAAUGUACAUACUUCUAAUAAGUUUUUGUUAACAAAAAUGCUAGUCAUAUAUAAUACAUAUAUACUACAUUGUGUAUACGUAC